rnacentral:rRNA from 1 species
AGCAGUAGCCGCGGGAAUACGUAGGGUGCGAGCGUUAAUCGGAAUUACUGGGCGUAAAGCGUGCGCAGGCGGUUCGUUAAGACAGAUGUGAAAUUCCCGGGCUUAACCUGGGAACUGCAUUUGUGACUGGCGAGCUAGAGUAUGGCAGAGGGGGGCAGAAUUCCACGUGUAGCAGUGAAAUGCGUAGAGAUGUGGAGGAAUACCGAUGGCGAAGGCAGCCCCCUGGGCCAAUACUGACGCUCAUGCACGAAAGCGUGGGGAGCAAACAGGAUUAGAUACCCCGGUAGUCCCUGUCUCUUAUAC